UGGGGGGGGGGAGUUCAGGAAGACGCGGACAAACGUUGGUGCCACCCUCCAGACGCCUCAGAUGCACAGGCAGACACCGUGCGCCCAGACCCCUCCACCCCGUUGGAUCUGGCCAGGAGUCCAGCUUGGGAUGGAGAAACUGAGGUGGAGUACGGUUAAGAGACUUGCCCAGGGUCACCCUGCAUCUGAGCACCAAAUCUGGGGCCAUGCCAGCUGCUACAACUCUCUGUCUGACAACUAGAGACCAGGACCUGGACCUCCACCUUCUGUUUCCUGUUGCUUAGCCCAAAUUCUGGCUCUACCGUUUCCAAGAUGUGACUCAGAUGAGAAGCCCAGAGGUGGAGAGUGUCUUGUUCUAAAUCAAACAGACUCAAACGAGAACCCAGGUCCCUUAAUACUCUUUCUAUCUCUUUCCAUUCCUCUGAGGUGAUCAAGCAAUAUAACAAGCCUACUGUGCUAGAUUUACAUAUAUCCGAUAAUAAUAAUGGAUUAAUCAAUAUAACCAGCCUACUGUGCUAGAUUUACAUAUAUCCAAUAAUAAUGGAUCAAUCAAUAUAGCAAGCCUACUGUGCUAGAUUUACAUAUAUAUCCAAUAAUAAUAAUGGAUCAAUCAAUAUAACAAGCCUACUGUGCUAGAUUUACAUAUAUAUAUCCAAUAAUAAUGGAUCAAUCAAUAUAGCAAGCCUACUGUGCUAGAUUUACAUAUAUAUCCAAUAAUAAUAAGGGAUCAAUCAAUAUAGCAAGCCUACUGUGCUAGAUUUACAUAUAUAUCCAAUAAUAAUAAGGGAUCAAUCAAUAUAGCAAGCCUACUGUGCUAGAUUUACAUAUAUAUCCAAUAAUAACGGAUCAAUCAAUAUAGCAAGCCUACUGUGCUAGAUUUACAUAUAUAUCCAAUAAUAAUAAUGGAUCAAUCAAUAUAACAAGCCUACUGUGCUAGAUUUAUAUAUAUAUCCAAUAAUAAUAAUGGAUCAAUCAAUAUAACAAGCCUACUGUGCUAGAUUUACAUAUAUAUCCAAUAAUAAUGGAUUAAUCAAUAUAACCAGCCUACUGUGCUAGAUUUACAUAUAUAUCCAACAAUAAUAAUGGAUUAAUCAAUAUAACCAGCCUACUGUGCUAGAUUUACAUAUAUCCAAUAAUAAUGGAUCAAUCAAUAUAGCAAGCCUACUGUGCUAGAUUUACAUAUAUAUCCAAUAAUAAUAAUGGAUCAAUCAAUAUAACAAGCCUACUGUGCUAGAUUUACAUAUAUAUAUCCAAUAAUAAUGGAUCAAUCAAUAUAGCAAGCCUACUGUGCUAGAUUUACAUAUAUAUCCAAUAAUAAUGGAUCAAUCAAUAUAGCAAGCCUACUGUGCUAGAUUUACAUAUAUAUCCAAUAAUAAUAAUGGAUCAAUCAAUAUAGCAAGCCUACUGUGCUAGAUUUACAUAUAUAUCCAAUAAUAAUAAGGGAUCAAUCAAUAUAGCAAGCCUACUGUGCUAGAUUUACAUAUAUAUCCAAUAAUAAUGGAUCAAUCAAUAUAGCAAGCCUACUGUGCUAGAUUUACAUAUAUAUCCAAUAAUAAUAAUGGAUCAAUCAAUAUAACAAGCCUACUGUGCUAGAUUUAUAUAUAUAUCCAAUAAUAAUAAUGGAUCAAUCAAUAUAACAAGCCUACUGUGCUAGAUUUACAUAUAUAUCCAAUAAUAAUGGAUUAAUCAAUAUAACCAGCCUACUGUGCUAGAUUUACAUAUAUAUCCAAUAAUAAUAAGGGAUCAAUCAAUAUAGCAAGCCUACUGUGCUAAAUUUACAUAUAUAUCCAAUAAUAAUAAUGGAUCAAUCAAUAUAGCAAGCCUACUGUGCUAGAUUUACACAUAUAUACAAUAAUAAUAAUGGAUCAAUCCAUAUAACAAGCCUACUGUGCUAGAUUUACAUAUAUAUACAAUAAUAAUAAUGGAUCAAUCCAUAUAACAAGCCUACUGUGCUAACUAGUCCCUUCCCUGGACACUGAGAAUUCAAAUAUGAAAGAAGCAGUCCCUGUCCUCAGGGAGCUUACAUUCAAAUGGGGGCAACAACGUACACAAUCGUGGAUGUGUAGAAAAUGUAGGCAAAGCAGAUAGAAAGUAACCUUUGGGAGAAAGCCCUGGGCAGAAGGUGUUGCUUGAGAUGAGUCAUCAUUCUCAUUACAAAUAAACACAUCACUUACUAAUGUGUGCA